UACGUAGGGUGCGAGCGUUGUCCGGAAUUAUUGGGCGUAAAGGGCUCGUAGGCGGUUUGUCGCGUCGGGAGUGAAAACCUCGGGCUUAACUCGGGGCUUGCUUUCGAUACGGGCAGACUAGAGGUAUGCAGGGGAGAACGGAAUUCCUGGUGUAGCGGUGAAAUGCGCAGAUAUCAGGAGGAGCACCGGUGGCGAAGGCGGUUCUCUGGGCAUGAUCUGACGCUGAGGAGCGAAAGUGUGGGGAGCGAACAGG
rnacentral:rRNA from 1 species